UCACCAACUGUUUUGAGACCAGUUAGUUACCCUCCACCUGGUUUAGCCCAUCUGGUUUGCCAGGGUGUGACCACUGCUCAUGCUACAGCUUCUUGGAGCCACAGGUCCCUAAAGGAAGACAAAGAUCUUGGGAAUAAGCCAACAUGUAGAAGAGCAGACAACUUUUAUCAUGUUGUUAUCCUUAGGCUACUACACUACAGACGGUAUCACACCCUUCAUCAGCCAUCACCACACCAUCCAUACCUGGAACCAUCUGUUACAG